CCUGUUUGAAUUUUCCGCUAUUAUCGAAUUAGUUUGUUCUCCCCAGGUUAGGUGGCGCUUUCGCGAAAAAACGAGGGGUAGACAGAGAGAUUCGCUUCUUCCUCUCUCUUAUUCUAUGGUUUUAACAUUAAAAAGAGAAGUGCCUGAAAAGUGCGUGCGCGCGACGGUGCGACGGUUUCACCUUGUUCAUUAGCAAAGUGGCUUUACAGAGACCUUUAAAUUUACAGAUUUCUUUACGCCUGACGCGACCUCGAGCGCGUAGCAAUUGAACUAUUUUAGCCUUUCCCCCCUUUGCCCCACCCCUGCCAGUAAACCCAUAAUUUGUAUAGAGCUUCAGGGGCCUGAUCGAGACUAAAUUAUAAUCUAUGAAAUCAGCUAACCUAUGCAACUAACUAACUAGAUGAUCGAGAGGUUAUAGAAUUUGUGCUCUUGAGAACAUAUGCACUAGAACAUAAAGGGUCAAAAGGGCGUUUAAACCGUACCAAGGCGCCCUACAAGUUGGUACGACAACACAAUAGGCACGUGAGCACUAAAAUUACCCGGAGUAAAAUGCUCAAACUUCUCCGAGGAGACGGUUUGAAAUACUCCGGGGCUACUCACUCCUUAUAGACCCUUCACAGCCAGACAACACAACUAACUCGGCAAAAGAGAGGGAACGAACGUGGUCCGACUCCCUCCAAAGUUGGGGCUAACAAAAGGAAAACCGAAAUUAGAAACCACAUUUCGGAAACAGUUGAACGAAGGUGUUACGUCAACGAUGUCUAAGUGCCCAAGCAUCUACGGGACUCCGAAGCGCCUCCCGUACCAGCGAAACUAUGUUGAAUUGAUUGUAAUUGAUUAUACGAUGUAUUAGUGACCAUUUCCAAGAAUUUAACAAAAUAAAACCGUUACAAUACCCUCA